rnacentral:rRNA from 1 species
GACGAAGGGGGCUAGCGUUGUUCGGAAUUACUGGGCGUAAAGCGCGUGUAGGCGGUUGUUCAAGUCAGGGGUGAAAGCCUUGAGCUCAACUCAAGAAAUGCACUUGAUACUGGAUGACUAGAGGACCGGAGAGGAUAGUGGAAUUCCCAGUGUAGUGGUGAAAUACGUAGAGAUUGGGAAGAACACCAGUGGCGAAGGCGGCUAUCUGGACGGUUUCUGACGCUAAGACGCGAAAGCGUGGGGAGCAAACAGG